rnacentral:rRNA from 1 species
AGGCCAGACUCCUACGGGAGGCAGCAGUGAGGAAUAUUGGUCAAUGGGCGAGAGCCUGAACCAGCCAAGUCGCGUGAGGGAUGACGGUCCUAUGGAUUGUAAACCUCUUUUGUCAGGGAGCAAAGGGCGCCACGUGUGGCGCUUUGCGAGUACCUGAAGAAAAAGCAUCGGCUAACUCCGUGCCAGCAGCCGCGGUAAUACGGAGGAUGCGAGCGUUAUCCGGAUUUAUUGGGUUUAAAGGGUGCGCAGGCGGAAUGUCAAGUCAGCGGUAAAAUUUCGGGGCUCAACCCCGUCGUGCCGUUGAAACUGCAUCCCUUGAGUGCGCGAGAAGUAUGCGGAAUGCGUGGUGUAGCGGUGAAAUGCAUAGAUAUCACGCAGAACUCCGAUUGCGAAGGCAGCAUACCGGCGCGCAACUGACGCUCAUGCACGAAAGCGUGGGUAUCGAACAGGAUUAGAUACCCCCGUAGCA